rnacentral:rRNA from 1 species
CCUACGGGUGGCAGCAGUGGGGAAUAUUGCACAAUGGGGGGAACCCUGAUGCAGCGACGCCGCGUGAGUGAAGAAGUAUUUCGGUAUGUAAAGCUCUAUCAGCAGGGAAGAAAAUGACGGUACCUGAAUAAGAAGCCCCGGCUAACUACGUGCCAGCAGCCGCGGUAAUACGUAGGGGGCAAGCGUUAUCCGGAUUUACUGGGUGUAAGGGGAGCGCAGACGGCUGUGCAAGUCUGGAGUGAAAGGUGGGGGCCCAACCCCCGGACUGCUCUGGACACUGUAAAGCUGGAGUGCAGGAGAGGUAAGCGGAAUUCCUAGUGUAGCGGUGAAAUGCGUAGAUAUUAGGAGGAACACCAGUGGCGAAGGCGGCUUACUGAACUGCAACUGACGUUGAGGCUCGAAAGCGUGGGGAGCAAACAGGAUUAGAUACCCGUGUAGUC